AGUUCAAGGAAAAAAUCAGAAAAACUGUUUAUAUUCUACUGCCGGAUAUCAGAGACGAGAGUGCAUGUUGAAUUUUCGUAGUUUUAUUUCGUUACAUUAUACCGAUUGACACACAGCCACGCGUCAUGAAAAUGCACCUGAAGCUGAUCGCAGAUCAAUUCGUGCGCAGCUGUGUUCAAUUUAAAUAUACAUACUCAUUUCCAGUCAAACCGCGAAUAAAGAAGAUGAUGAGGUAAAAAAGAAGCCGGAUCUGGGAGAAAGAAAAAAUUGGAAUGGACAGAAGGACCUUGGACCAUGAUCUUGCAAGUAUAUGACUAAUGAUCAGGUGGAAAAAGGUCGGACGAGUUUGGUAUCUUAUACAUAUGCAUAUUACAAGGUGAUGAAAUUUGACUUUAGUCGAUUCACGAUCGCGAUCUCGCUGAGACUUAAGAGAAAAGGAACCGGAUAAAUAUUUUAGAAAAUUAUAAACGUGGUGACAGCAAAAUAUAUCAUUCACGAACGAAGAAGAUUCAUUUAGUUUCGAGGAAAACAAAAUAAGUCUUGCUCUUAAUUUUUCUAAUCAUUUAUUUUUAUUGUUAUUAUUAUUAUUUUCACAAAAUUUGAAAGAGAAGCCAUUUAGUUGCGGUUCGAGAAAUUGUAAAAACGUUUCUUUUCUUUGUGUUUUUCGAAACAAACGUUUUCAUUAGGACUUUUGGAAAAUAAGAUUUCAAUAAACAUUACCGAUUUCGACUUCGUUAUAGUAAGAUUAUAUAAUAUUAUUUGUGACGUGGAACGUAUACAAACUCCAAUGAAAAUGAUCAUAAAAUAUUAUAAUGAUGACCAUAAAGUCUUACGCAGGUAAGGCUAUUUGCGAAUCGAUUAGCAGAAAUAUUUAAUAUGUAAAUCGUCUACGUAUGGCUGCUUAUGCUAUUAAAUGGUACUCGUAUUAUAAAUACAUACAUAGAUUACUUACGUCAUUGAAGUUCUAUUAACUAUUGAUCAUCUGACGCAAAAUACUGAAUUGAUAAAUUCGCGGUAAAAAAGCUAUGUAAUGAAGGUGAAAAAUAAUAAUGAUCAAACUGCAGGUGACGGUGAAAAAGUGAUGACACAGAUGAAAAACUACACACGACAAGAAAAAAAAAUUAGCAACCACAAUUUAUCUGAUUGCAAAAAAUGUUGAACCAAACAGUUUUCACAGAGCAUAGUUUAAAUUGAUUAUCGUUAUUCCUUACGUACAUGCGAGUUAUAAUGUAAUAAUUAUGCAAACGACGAUGUAAGAAACAGCGAUGACAAGAAAGAUUGGACAAAGUGAAUAUAAAAAUAGGACCAAAGAUCAAGAUGUCCUAGCCAUUAACAAGUUAGUACAGGCAGCUCAGCUUUCAAAUAAAUUAUAUAGGAUCGUAUGACCGUGACCAUCACUCAUGACUCGCGACCCAUCGAUGGUGAUCGUCGUUAAUCGGUGUCUUCGUCGGGAUCUCUGUAUCAGCCCAAAGGCAAAUGAAAAUGCUAUUAUUGGACGAGGAAGAUUCUGCAACGCUCGUGGAUGCCGAUAUUAUUUUUUUCUCAGGCGACAUUUUGUGCUUGUUUUGGGUAUGCCAGAUCUGGGGAACACAAAAAUGGCCCAAACGCGACGAAUUGAAAUCCCGUUCGCUAGAACCAGCAACCCAAAGUCGCGAGGUGGAUGCAGCUGGGACGCAACGGCCAUGACCUUGCAGACGACGUUGAGUCAGGGCUGAUAAUCGCGCGUUUGCAACCAAGUCUCGUUCUGCGCUUGACAACUGACUCGAGUACCGUGUACAAUUAUUCCCUUCAUAUCACGGGUAAUUUCUGUACCAGUAUGUCAACAGCUGGAAUGAGGAAAAUGGCAGACAUGCAGAGUCAUCGGAUCGGAAUAUAAUUCGAAGUGGAAACACAGAUUUGUUGUUCACGUUGCUGAUUUCAGUUUCAAGGGAUAAAUAAAUAAAUAAAGAAAUAAAUAAAUUUCAAUAAUUAUUUUCGCGUCGUCGACGAGGUUAGGCCCCAGAAAUCAAACGUAUCAAUUAAACGUAGCUCGCAUGCGCCGGGUAUACGGAUAAGUAAUGCUUACGAAGCAAAGCAAUUAUGUGUGAACGCGGAACAAGCGUAGUUUGAAACGCGAUGAAGAAUAACCGCUCUUUGUUACGUAAUGUUUUAUGAGUUGUGGAUUGCAAGAGCUAUGACUUGAAACGUGUUAUUUUGAAGCAGUCACAGAACUCAAGGUGAAGUUCUCGAUUCUCAAAGUUUCAAUCGUGUCAUGUAGCCAAAAUUCAGUUGGAAAAAAAAAAAUUAAUAUUAGAAUUUACGAUCGUUAUUCGCCAAUUAAUCAGGUGCAAAAACAUGUGUAACAGAAAUCGAUAUCAAAGUUCUUAAAAGCUGUAUUAAUGUAUUAUUAAACAUCCGUAUGGCCUUCAACAGACUGUCAAUUUUGAAAAAACGUUUACAAUACACUUUAUACAAAUUUUCAAGAUCUGCUCUUCACCGCCUUGCGCAUAUUUGCCAAGACAAUCAGUUCGCGCGUGUCACGUACCGUGAAAAAACUUUCCCUAAAGUACAUGUUGUACUUCGAGGAAAAGAAGUACGAAAUAUGUGCGCAGUCAAAUAACGUACGCACCGGAAAAAAGUUGGUUUCUGAUGAUAGUUUUUUUUUAUCCUGAAACCGUAUAAUGUAAAGGUUAUUAUAACCAGUCUGUCAAAUCGCGUCAACGUGUUUCCGAGAAUCCACAUAAAGAUGAUUUACAAGUGCGGACACCGAUUCCAUAAUUUUCCUUUCCGUUAUCUUCUAUCCUUCAUGAAUCAUCUCUCAAGAAUGUGAAUACACCGAAACUCAACAGAGUAAAACAAGUGAAAGGCAAUUCAAAAGAUUUAUCAAACGUCUCCUCUCCGCAUUUCACUGUCAACUAUCGGUACGUAAUUUUUCAAUUACACGCAAAAUUAUUCAAAGAUAUGCUGUAACCACUCAUCGAGUGAUUUGAAUUAAUCGUUAACAACUUUUUUCUUCCGUUUUGUUCUAACC